UACGUAGGCAGCAAGCGUUGUUCGGAGUUACUGGGCGUAAAGAGUGCGUAGGCGGUCCGCUAAGUUCGGUGUGAAAUCUCCCGGCUCAACUGGGAGGGUGCGCCGAAGACUGGCGGGCUUGAGUACAGAAGAGGAAAGCGGAAUUCCACGUGUAGCGGUGAAAAUGCGUAGAGAUGUGGAGGAACACCAGUGGCGAAGGCGGCUUUCUGGUCUGUAACUGACGCUGGAGGCGCGAAAAGCGUGGGGGAGCAAACAGG
rnacentral:rRNA from 1 species